rnacentral:rRNA from 1 species
CCUACGGGAGGCAGCAGUGAGGAAUAUUGGACAAUGGGCGCAAGCCUGAUCCAGCCAUGCCGCGUGCAGGAUGACGGUCCUAUGGAUUGUAAACUGCUUUUAUACAGGAAGAAACACCUCUACGUGUAGAGACUUGACGGUACUGUAAGAAUAAGGAUCGGCUAACUCCGUGCCAGCAGCCGCGGUAAUACAGGGGGUGCUAACGUUGUUCGGAAUUACUGGGCGUAAAGCGCGCGCAGGCGGCUAUACAAGUCAGAUGUGAAAUCUCGGGGCUUAACUCCGAAAGUGCAUUUGAAACUGUAUGGCUAGAGUACAGUAGAGGUUGGUGGAAUUCCCAGUGUAGAGGUGAAAUUCGUAGAUAUUGGGAGGAACACCGGUGGCGAAGGCGGCCAACUGGGCUGUAACUGACGCUGAGGCGCGAAAGCGUGGGGAGCAAACAGGAUUAGAUACCCUGGUAGUCCACGCCGUAAACGAUGGAUACUCGCUGUGGUUGGUAUUGACCCCGACCGUAGCCAAGCUAACGCGAUAAGUAUCCCGCCUGGGAAGUACGGUCGCAAGAUUAAAACUCAAAGGAAUUGACGG